rnacentral:lncRNA from 1 species
AAAGAAGAUAAAAUAAAUAAAUAAAUAAAACUUGCUCACAGUCACUCAGCUAGGCAGGAGGUGCAAUCAGGAUUCAAAUCUAGAUCUAGCAGGCUCUGAAGUGUUGCUCUUAUCACUGUCCGGGAACACGGCUUGCACGGACCCACAAAGGCGUUUUCCCAACCUACCAAGAUUCUCUUUCUUGCAUGAUGCGGUGACGCCCUUCGGCCUGACUCUGCAUUUCAUGUCUUAACUGUGCCUCCAGGUCAUGACGGGCUUCAGGACGAAGACAGCGCACAUGUGUUUCCUUCCUUCUAAGAGUUUCUACUUACUGGGCAUUUGCUCGGGUCACCAAGACCCCUUUUAAGGGGAGAGGUGUUUAGAGCAUUCCAGUAUCAGUAAGCAGUGAAUCACUCGUAAGAACUGGAUGAAAUGAAAAUAUUCGGAAGAGUGUCGGGCCAAUGCACCAUUUUGGUGAAGGGGAUAGAAGUUGACGUCACAGGUGGAAGGGAAAGACAGGUGAGGUUAUGGGGAAGCAGUUAUCACCUAUUUAUACCACAGGUGAGUCUGGUGAGAUGGCGUUAGAUCGGAGUUUGAAUCCCAACUAGGCCAACUUCCGGCUGGGUAAACUUCAACAGGUUUCUUCACCUCUCUGCACAUAGGUUUCCUCAUGUGUGUAGAGUUCAAAUGUCUAAUAAUUGAAGAGCUAUCACCCAUGUAAUUAAGAGACACCUGUUUCUUCUAGGAAUACAACAUUUAUUUCUACAAGUCCCCCACACACAGGUUGGUCUCAAAUGCAAGCUUCCGUGUCCUCCACAGGAGUAGCAAGGAGUGUCUUCUGCCUUCCGGCAGUAGCAUCUGGAGAUGCCUUCCAUGUGUUACUAACCACAAUGGGAAGAUAGCACCAAAGCCAGUAAGUCAGCCCUCAAGAUGAUUCAGAGUUCUGGGGUAAUUUAUUAUACACUCGUAAACAACGAAUGCAUUAUUUUAUUAUGAUGCGUGAGGUGCUUCUGUAAGAGAAACCUGAAAUGUUGGAGUGGCUUUGGAACUGGACAGCGGGGGAAGCUGGAAGGACUUGGGAGAGAGUGUCAGCGAAAGCCCUUAAAGUCUUGAAGAAUCUGUGAGUACAAUCCUGAUGGGCUUUGAGAAGGCUGUAGAUGAAGGCUUUAGGGGAAAUAAGGAAAAGGUUAUUGAAAACUGGAGGAGAGGGGUCCUUGUAACACAGUGGCAGGAAGUUUAGCAACACUGUCAUCUGGAGGGAUGUAGAAAGUACAAAAUGUGUCUAAUUAAUGGAGUGUUCUAGCUCAGUAUAUUUCCAGGUAGAGUGUUGAAGGUGCUGACUGAUGUCUUCUUCCUUAUUAUAGCAAAAUGUGAGGAGAAAAAUCUAAAGAAGGGCUAAAAAGAAGCCCAGAACUUGCUAGACUAGAAAAUUCCCAUCUUCUCUGGAUGACGAAUAAUGCUGAAAUGAAGAAACGGUUUCCACUCAAAAAAUAAACUCUAGGAUACUUCAAGGAGCA